GGCUGGUUUUGACUGUCACAAUGCUUUAUCCUCCACGCUGUAAGCAGGAUCCUGUGGCCACCAUCUCAAGACUUAACCCCAUGAAUCAACAAAAAACUUUCACAUUUUGAGACCUGCUUCUAGAUGCCUUUCAGAUUGCUGUACCUCACCAGUUUGUUAUCAUGGACGCCUAUCUCAGAAGGAUGCUUUAAAAACUUCUGUUUAUUUCAGUCUCACAGGCUGCUCUGACGUGCAGAUAUCUGCAAAUCUGUAAGGUAUGAAUCAUCUCACACAUUGCCGAGGUGAAACCUGACAACUAUUUAACAGCACCACUGCAACACUAUGGAACAUUUUAAGACAGGAAAUUAAGAAUACCUGAGCCAACGAAAGCCACAGGGGAAAGUUUAGAUGGACAGAAUUUAAUUACCCAUGCUGGAACUUGGCCAGGACACCAGAACUUACACCCCAACCCUCCUGUAAAGUGCCAUCGGACCCUUAAUGCUAACAAAUGGUCGCAACAUCAGCUUUAGAUCUGCUCCAAAUGAGAACAGCACUAAAAGUCAUCCAAGACCUUCUGAGGUAUUCAUUUACUAGUGACUGACAGAAAAGGGUACAACAUACCUAAUCACACAAAACAGCUAUAGCACAACAUGAAAAAUACCUUCCCUAGCAGCACUGGAGGCUAUUCUCUCGACACAGCUCAAUAUUUUUAGAAGAACUCGGU
rnacentral:lncRNA from 1 species